CACGUAGGGCGCAAGCGUUGUCCGGAAUUAUUGGGCGUAAAGAGCUCGUAGGCGGUUUGUCGCGUCUGCUGUGAAAACCUAAGGCUCAACCUUGGGCUUGCAGUGGGUACGGGCAGACUAGAGUGCGGUAGGGGUGACUGGAAUUCCUGGUGUAGCGGUGGAAUACGCAGAUAUCAGGAGGAACACCGAUGGCGAAGGCAGGUCACUGGGCCGCAACUGACGCUGAGGAGCGAAAGCAUGGGGAGCGAACAGG
rnacentral:rRNA from 1 species